rnacentral:rRNA from 1 species
CCUACGGGCGGCAGCAGUGGGGAAUAUUGGACAAUGGGGGCAACCCUGAUCCAGCCAUGCCGCGUGUGUGAAGAAGGCCCUCGGGUUGUAAAGCACUUUCAGUGAGGAAGAACGCCUGGUGGUUAAUACCCAUCAGGAAAGACAUCACUCACAGAAGAAGCACCGGCUAACUCCGUGCCAGCAGCCGCGGUAAUACGGAGGGUGCGAGCGUUAAUCGGAAUUACUGGGCGUAAAGCGCGCGUAGGUGGCUUGAUAAGCCGGUUGUGAAAGCCCCGGGCUCAACCUGGGAACGACAUCCGGAACUGUCAAGCUAGAGUGCAGGAGAGGAAGGUAGAAUUCCCGGUGUAGCGGUGAAAUGCGUAGAGAUCGGGAGGAAUACCAGUGGCGAAGGCGGCCUUCUGGACUGACACUGACACUGAGGUGCGAAAGCGUGGGUAGCAAACAGGAUUAGAUACCCCGGUAGUC